GAUUAUUAGGCUUUGGAGAUGAUCUCAUCCAGCCUUCAAGAAGCCGCGAAAUGUUUUCAGUGCUUGAUGCAUAAUUGGAGAAGGUUUGAUCGAGUCUUAGAUUUGAUGAAUUAGGGCUCAAAUUUAAGCUUCUUGAUCUAUCACUGAAGCUCUUUGACACAAACUGAUGGCUAGUUGUUGUUGUUGAGUCUUGUGGUGCCAUUGGAUGGUCCAUAGCUGAUUGGAACUUCUUUAGCUUCUUCUUCAGGUGGGUGUUCCAGUAAUUCUUUAUAUCAUUAUCUGUUCU
rnacentral:misc_RNA from 1 species